rnacentral:misc_RNA from 1 species
UCCGGUUUGUCACCGGCAGUCUCAUUAAAGUGCCCAACUGAAUGAUGGCAAUUAAUGACAAGGGUUGCGCUCGUUGCGGGACUUAACCCAACAUCUCACGACACGAGCUGACGACAGCCAUGCAGCACCUGUGUUCCAGUUCCCGAAGGCACUCCCCAAUCUCUCAGGGAUUCUGGACAUGUCAAGGGUAGGUAAGGUUUUUCGCGUUGCAUCGAAUUAAUCCACAUCAUCCACCGCUUGUGCGGGUCCCCGUCAAUUCCUUUGAGUUUUAACCUUGCGGCCGUACUCCCCAGGCGGUCAACUUCACGCGUUAGCUACGGUACUAAUAGGUUUUACCCUACCAACACCUAGUUGACAUCGUUUAGGGCGUGGACUAC